ensembl:lncRNA
GUGGCAGCCCGGUGCUGCUCGCUCGCUCGCUCCGCCACGCAGAGGGGCGCAAAGUCCCCGCCUCUGCUUCGCCCCGCGCGAGCAGGCAAGGAGCGCUGGAUCUGGGACCCCCGCUACUCCCGCCCCUCAUCCCCUGCGCUUGGAAGGGCGUGUGCGUGCAUGCUUGGGCUUUAUGGCCCAGGUGAGAAGGCCAGACGCGGCUAAGUCCACGGAGGUCAGUUCGAGAAGGUGGCCUGGGCAGGUCCCGUGCGUCCCAUCCCUUGCGAAACUGAUCCGUUGCGAAACUGAUCGACCUGUUCGCAACCCUCGAUAGGACUUUGCAAACUUCUCCUUUCCUCAAUGGCCGAAUGCCUGUUGAUUUCAUUCCUAGACAGCAGGGGGUACGCUUCUUAUUCUCCCUCCCCAGACACCCCAGUUGAUGUACAGCAGAGAGAUGGGAACCAGAACCAGGCAGCUCUUGACUGUGUGGGACAUGCUCAGUCAUGGAAGAGAAGAUGGAAGGUUUUGAUGCGUUCAUGUCAAAGGAAGCUGUCCUCUUCAAGUGAUAAUCAAGAUGGAAGAUCUGGGACAAGUGUCCAAACCUUCACUCCCAGUGUUUGCUGCGAGGAGCGCUUAGUGGCAAGGACAGCCAAAACUACAAGUCUUGUCACCAGCACUUUCUGGCUUGGAAUACUAGGGCACAGUAAUUCAGAGAAAGGGGUCAAGCAGUCCAGUCUGGAGACCCCAGGGCAGAGCAGGGCGUGUGCAAUGCAUCUAUAUAGGAAAGUCCUCUGCCCUGUCAUGUCUUCCUCAAUAUAAAGUGGUGGAUGAGACUGUCAAGAGGACAGUGCACACUCCUAAGAACUUGAUGCAACCCACACGCUCCAUAGUGUGAUAACCAAACUUGAGGACCGCCUGGCAGAUGAGAUUUCAUGAAUCCAGACUGUGACUUUCAAAAUGCAAAGUGCCUUACAGCCCCUGUUCCUGUGCUAUAGGGGUAAGACAUAUGUCUCCAUUUCUCUAAAAAAGACUGUGGAACAUCAUGAGUUUCUNAAAACUCUUCUCUUCAGCCUACAGGAGCAGUGGUGGCCAGAGACUCGAGCUGAAUUAAAAUGCUGUGUAGCUUCAUGCCCUAAUUGCUGCCAAGCAGAAACCUGGCCAAGUACUUUGACUUCACCCUUUGGUGAUGCGGGAGCAUGAUGGCACACUGCCUGGAUUUCUUCACAGUUCUACCACCUUGUGGGUGUNCGCCACUAUUUUUGCACUCAGAGAUUUUUUUUAAUUUUUUUUUUUUUUUACUAAAUUGGCUAGGUCCAUUCCACCCAAAUCAGCUUUUUAAAGACAAUGUCUUCAAUUAUACAGGAUGCUUACCAAAAUUGUCUUGGACAGAGUCACCUAGCUGACUACAAAGUUAUGGAAACUUUAUGUUCACUGUUCAUUGUGUCACUGGCUUUUUCUGUGGUCCGUCAUCCACAGAAGAUCAAACAGAGGCUUUGUUCACACAUAAUAAGAAACAAAAAAGUAUCUCAAAGGCAUCUUAAAGGUGGUAUGUAACAUGCCAGUGUGCCCAUCCCAUCUCUAAUGCACAUUAAAGGCCCAGAAAUGCGGUUUCAAAGCACCAUUAGAGGUGGCUUGGAGAACAGCUGGGAGCACUAGUGCCACUUGCUACUAUCUCUAAGAGGAUUUUGAGCCACUUCUUCUUCUUCUUCUUUUUUUUACUAUGUGUGAAGGCAGUCAGAGUACACAAAAAACAGUUUGAAAAAAUAUCUCCAGUGGGUCUCCACUUUGCAACAUGACUGAGUAUCCCUGGUUCAUUUCACCAAAUUUGCUUACAGCCAUUCAAAGUAUGCUUUGACAACCAUAGAGCCUGUUCACAUUUGAUCCUUAGUGAGCAUGCAAAACACUAGGGAAAUAUGUUUGCACUCCACUGUGUCUGCAGCAUCCAGGAGCAUCUGCAGUCACUCUUGGACAUUACUAGCUGUGAACAGCUAAUAUGCUGUCCACAGCUUGACCAGGAGCAGCUAGAUUGCUCCUGGUCAGCAAUGUUUGCAUCCUCUUCCUUAUGCAAAUGCUGCAAAUGGGUGGCAUGACUGUGACUNCGCAGUCAUGCACUGUGUCCUGCUUGCCGUGGCAAUGGCUGGAUGUUGCUGCGUUCUCUGUCAUGGUAACUGGGCCUGCAUUUGAACUGCAAGUGCUGGUGUCCCAGUUUGUGGCUAUUCUAGCCCUCGCAGUGUGAAUAGCUGCCAUGCUGCUUGGACUAUCCCAGCCUAGUAUGNGAUUGUUAAUACCAUACUAGGCUGAUCAGUGUGAAAUGGCCCUUAACACCUGCAUUAUAUGGCUCAUACUCCUCAUUUCUUCCUAUAGUCCACACCACCUUCAGUUCCAGAAGCUGAAGACUUUUGGCCCUUUCUGUACUGGGCCUUAUUUCAGAUUAUAUCCCGCAAUAGGGACUUGCUGUCCACGUGCUGGUGCAGACUACAGGAAGCCUUGCUCAGGGCCUGCCAUAAUCUGCACUAGCNUAUGCACUGCAGGCCCCUAUUCUGGGAUAUAAUCCAGAAUAAGUCUCAGUGCAGAAAGAACCUUAGAGUGCAAGUAUAUAGGCCUUUUCACACUUGCUUGCUAGUGAGUGUGAAGAUGCUCACUAGGCAAGUACCUCUGCCAUUUGCAGAGACCAACACGAUUGGGAGCACUCUUCAGCUGCAUCCGAUAACUCCUAGCUGUGGAGCACUAAAUUGUGCUUCACAACUUGACUGGGAGCAGCUAGACUGCUCCUGGUAAAGGGCAUUUGCACCCUCUUCUAGGUGCAAAUGCAAACCGCAUGGUGGGAUGCACCCAUGUGAUCCACAGCUUUGCCAGUCACCAUGGCAAUGGCUGGACACUUCCCAACUGCUGUCAUGGAAAGGAACAGAAGCAGGACAUCGACAUUUGCAUCGCAAAUGCUGGGAUCCUGCUGGUAUUCUGUUCAAGGACUUUGCAGUGCAGAUGGUGUCCAUGCUGUGGGGUAGUUAUCCUGUUCUAACGUGGAAAGUGUGAAAACACCUCAUGAGUCCUUUUCUGGUGAUCAUGCAAAUUGAUCCCAUGACUUUUUAUCUCAAAUUAACUCAUGAAACUGCAUCUUCUUGUUUGGUNUACUGCCUUCCCCACUUUACUCAACUUGUCCUCUCCUCCCUUUUAUAAAGGUGGUCGAUGAUGCCCAUUUUGAAGCUGGAUUCUUGCCAGCACCAUGACCAAGUCCAGUAUAUAGUUUACUGGAAAGGCUACUCUGCUACUUAAGACUCAUGNGUGAACACAAGGUGUCCAACCUCCUAAUCUACUUUCAUGCUGCUUUUCCAAACAAGUUGAACCCUUUCUCAGUCUUGACAGCUGUGGCAGAUUGGGAAUGGCAGGGCUGACAGAGUUAGGGACAUCUCGGAUCAAGUCUUCCUCAGUCCUUGCAGAAACAACAAUCUGUUUUUGAGCUUUAUCAGUGGUAUUCAGAGGAACCUCAACUAAAAGAGUUGCUAGGCAGUGAGGGGGAAGUAAAGAGAAAACAGGCACUGACUCUUCAUAUGGCCAACCAGACAUGGAUUCAUUACAGGGGNAUUUGUGAAGCCCCACUGGCAUUGAAUUGAAAGAAAGGGGGUGGAAGUAGCAAAAUCCCAGAAGUACUUUUCAAUUCAAUGCCAGAGGAGCCUUGCCAGUCAUCCAUGGUAAGUGCUUCCAUGCUGGAGAGGUAAAAAUAGUGCAUGAUCUCCUGAACUAUUUUUACAAUGUAUUAAGUGGCUGAUAGAUUGCCAGAGCCCCAACAUGGUCUCACUGCAAUGCUGACAACCUGCCAACAUUUUAAUUGUGUCUAGAGGCAGCCCAAGACAGUGGCUGGAGACAGCUCCCUGUGCACCAAGCAAGGGGGCUUUGACAUAUGAAUCUGCUUUUCCUCAUAUUUCUUGUUUAGACCCCCAAGGGGAGUAGGAGGAGAGCUGGCAACUUGCUUUUCAGUGUACUCUGACUGUUUAUAAUGUUGUUCCACUUUGUUACCUGUGAGUUUCUUCAGCAUCUUGUUCUGCAACCUUUCAUUACUCUUUCAGUAAAGCACAGUUCAAUUCUUGACAUGUGUGUGUUUCCAAAAAGGCUCAUAACAAAGUAGGAACUGGAAAAAAAGGCUUUCUGGAAGAGGGUCUUUCAUUUGUGCAUUCAGUUUCACAAAGCUGGCCAGGCAGAGACUGGAAGAAAUCCAUGGCUGCAGAGGCCAAGGGGAUUGUGUUCAUAACUGUCUAAAGUUACUAUUAUAUUCUGUACAUCUAACAUCUAAGUUGGAAAAAGAAUCCAUUAAGUUUUGGAACUGUAAGUUUUUUUUUUUUAACCUGUAAUCAUAUGUUUUAUGCCUGUAUGCCCUAUAAUUUGAUGAGAAUAACAUCAAUAAACAAGAUAAUGACAAUU